rnacentral:rRNA from 1 species
UACGUAGGGUGCGAGCGUUAAUCGGAAUUACUGGGCGUAAAGCGGGCGCAGGCGGUUUUGUAAGACAGAUGUGAAAUCCCCGGGCUUAACCUGGGAAUGGCAUUUGGGACUGCAAGGCUUGAGUGCGGCAGAGGAGACUGGAAUUCCUGGUGUAGCAGUGAAAUGCGUAGAUAUCAGGAGGAACACCGAUGGCGAAGGCAGGUCUCUGGGCUGACACUGACGCUCAUGCACGAAAGCGUGGGGAGCAAACAGG